rnacentral:rRNA from 1 species
AUUGAACGCCGGCGGCAGGCCUAACACAUGCAAGUCGAGCGGAUGAGGAAAGCUUACUUUUCGAUUCAGCGGCGGACGGGUGAGUAAUGCCUAGGAAUCUGCCUGUUAGUGGGGGAUAACUCGGAGAAACUCGGGCUAAUACCGCAUACGUCCUACGGGAGAAAGUGGGGGAUCUUCGGACCUCACGCUAACAGAUGAGCCUAGGUCGGAUUAGCUAGUAGGUGAGGUAAUGGCUCACCUAGGCGACGAUCCGUAACUGGUCUGAGAGGAUGAUCAGUCACACUGGAACUGAGACACGGUCCAGACUCCUACGGGAGGCAGCAGUGGGGAAUAUUGGACAAUGGGCGAAAGCCUGAUCCAGCCAUGCCGCGUGUGUGAAGAAGGUCUUCGGAUUGUAAAGCACUUUAAGUUGGGAGGAAGGGUAUUCACCUAAUACGUGGGUACUUUGACGUUACCAACAGAAUAAGCACCGGCUAACUCUGUGCCAGCCGCCGCCGUAAUAC